GAUAGGACAAGAGGAAACGGCCUGAGACUGUGCCAGGGGAGGUUUAGAUUGGUUAUUAGGAAAAAUUUUCUUCACCAGAAGGGUAGUUAGGCAUUGGAACAGGCUUCCAGGGAAGUGGUGGAAUUGCCGUCCUUGGAAGUGUUCAGGAAACGUAGAUGAGUCUCUUACUGGCAUGGUUUAGUGGUGAACUUGGCAGACUGGGGUAAAGACUGGACUUGAUGAUCUUAAAGGUCUUUUCCAACCUGGUUGAUUCUAUGAUUCUUUUAAAUGGCUCUGCUUUCACCUUGCCUCCUCAUUUUAUGGCAUUUUUGCCUUCCUCCAACAAGCAGAGGCAAGGUGGAGGCCAGCAUCUCUUCAGGUGCCACUUCUAUAAGGCCUCUCACAAUGGGGGUGGCACUGCCUCUCCCUGGAGAAAGGCCUUGAGGCUUCAGUGUUGCCAAUGCUUCAAAAGAUGAGAUAGUUUGAAAAACUACAGGGAGGAAGAGAGAUCCCAGAGAAAGCUCAGAGGAAUUUUGGGAAGGAGGAAGUACUGUGGAAGGGAAUAGACAGGAGUAAGCUGAGUUCAAGCUACCCUGGAGCCUCUGUGCAAGGAGGUGAAGGCCAGGUGUUCAAAAGUAUUGGGUCAUUCUGAGCUCUGAAGUGAGGUUCUAAAGUCAUCAUCUCAUGUUUGGUGUGAAAGGGGACUGGAGGAAUGACAUGAGUUUUGGGAAGUCAGAGGGUAGGGAAAGUAGGCUGCUUCUGAUGUUUGAAGAGUUAAAAUACACAGGUGUCAGGACUUGCAGCAGCGUGGCUAAUCAGCUUUCCAUUGAGGAAAGGAAUGAGAAACACCAGAGAUCAGUAUCAGGAAAUGGAUUAUGUUUACAUUUGUGGAGGAGUAAAUUCAUAUUCAUCAAAUGAUCAGGCAAAAGGUGCAGUGUUUAUGGAUUUCGGGCUACCAGAUAUAGAAGCCUGAAGACCUAGAGUGGAUUUUAUAGUAAAAACAGCAAUUUAAGUAACUUGGUGACAUUUACAAUGAUAAUUUAUCUGGAAUGAUUUAAGCAUUGAGAGUUUUAUGAAAUGCAGCUGAGAGGCAUAAAGUUUUGAGCUCUAGCCAAAGUUUGAGUACUGGUGGAACAGGAUUUCUAAGUGAAAUCCCUGAGAAAUGAGGUGCACAUAAAUGUAGAUGGUAAGAGGCCAGGAAUAAGUACUAAUCUGCUGUGGGGUGGAAUUAGUUAAUACCUGUGGGACACAAUGGUCAUAGAUGGCAACAACUGAGGUGGAACUAAUUUGCAACAUAAGGGGGAGAAUUUCUGCUAGGCAAUGUCUGACAAUUCUGUCUUUUUUUAGCUGGACUGAAGGAUUAACAUAGUCCUACAAGUUGCCAUGCUGUUGCUUCUGUAACUGAUGCCUUCUUGCAUGAGAGAAGUGGAGGUGGAUAUGGGCAUCCAUUUAGGAAGAUCAUUCUGCUGCCUUCUCUCAGAGUUGAAGCUUCAGCAUUCAGGUCUAGUAAAAAAUUCUACUC